AAACAAUAGAAUAAGUUAAAAAAAAACAAUACUAAAAUAGCUUAAUUUAGUACCGGGCCGUACCCGAAAGCACCCAGCCGAAUAUGGAGCCCUGAGCGAGGAGCUGCCCAAAUGUUUGUGGCAUGACCUGUUGGGUCAUAAUGCGGGAGUAUACAUCCGCGCCGAGCACCAAGCGUAUUGGCGACGACUUGUGGAAGUUUGGUGCCGUGCUGGGAUCACCUUAUGUCAUGAAUGACAUUUUUAAUUAUUGGUUAAGUGCGCACACGUGCGCAGAUUAACCCCGGCAGCAGAAAAAGGCUUCCUGGCAGGAUCGCAUGAAGAAAUCAAAAAGGAGGUAUCUGGAGGCCCCGGCGAGAAAACAUUGAUGUGUUGUCCCCUGUUUGCUGGCAGCAGAAAAGACUCGUGCGCAUGCUCUUCUUGCUUUCCCCUUGGUGUGAAACAACUGAUCGUUGGUGUCAACAAGAUGGAUUCGUCUAAACCACCAUACAGUGAGACUUGUUAUGGGGAAGUCCAGAAGGAAGUAUCCUCAUCCAUCAAGAAGCUCGGUUACAAUCCAGCUGCUGUUGCAUUCGUGCCAAUCGCUGGCUUGGCAUGGUGAUAACGUGUUGGAAGCAUCCACCAAUGGUACAAAGGAUGGAAGAUUGAACGUAAGGAAAGCAACUCUGGGGGUAAGUUGAUUU